rnacentral:rRNA from 1 species
AGAGUUUGAUCAUGGCUCAGAUUGAACGCUGGCGGCAGGCUUAACACAUGCAAGUCGAGCGGAAACGAUGAUAGCUUGCUAUCAGGCGUCGAGCGGCGGACGGGUGAGUAAUACUUAGGAAUCUACCUAGUAGUGGGGGAUAGCUCGGGGAAACUCGAAUUAAUACCGCAUACGACCUACGGGAGAAAGGGGGCAACUUGUUGCUCUCGCUAUUAGAUGAGCCUAAGUCGGAUUAGCUAGAUGGUGGGGUAAAGGCCUACCAUGGCGACGAUCUGUAGCUGGUCUGAGAGGAUGAUCAGCCACACCGGGACUGAGACACGGCCCGGACUCCUACGGGAGGCAGCAGUGGGGAAUAUUGGACAAUGGGGGCAACCCUGAUCCAGCCAUGCCGCGUGUGUGAAGAAGGCCUUUUGGUUGUAAAGCACUUUAAGCAGUGAAGAAGACUCCAUGGUUAAUACCCAUGGACGAUGACAUUAGCUGCAGAAUAAGCACCGGCUAACUCUGUGCCAGCAGCCGCGGUAAUACAGAGGGUGCAAGCGUUAAUCGGAAUUACUGGGCGUAAAGCGAGCGUAGGUGGCUUGAUAAGUCAGAUGUGAAAUCCCCGGGCUUAACCUGGGAACUGCAUCUGAUACUGUUAGGCUAGAAUAGGUGAGAGGAAGGUAGAAUUCCAGGUGUAGCGGUGAAAUGCGUAGAGAUCUGGAGGAAUACCGAUGGCGAAGGCAGCCUUCUGGCAUCA